ACUCGAUAAUCCACGACCAUCUUACCCCUUCUAGAUUAAUCAGCUUGUGUACUGCCGUCGUAAGCACACCUCUAAAAGCAACUCAGUAUGCAAAUAUGACUAACCCUCAUUUACGUCAGGUCAAAGUGCAGCUAAUGAUGGGGUGAUGAUGGGUUACACCCUAAACACAGACACGAAAUAUAGUCUCAAAAACUAUGUAAAGGUGGACUUGGAUGUAAUUAUAAUCCAAAAUUACAAUGAAAUUGAAUCUAAGGCAUGCACACAUCGCCCGUCACUCUCGCCCAAAGGCGAGAUAAGUCGUAACAAAGUAGGUGUAACGGAAGUUGCACCUGUCGAAGUAUAGCAUAUAUAAUGCUUUUUACUUACACUAAAAAUAAAACCUUCAGUUUACUUCGCAUACCCACUAUAAUCUUACAAAACAUAACUAAUCAAAAUAAUAUAAAAUCAAUCCAAUUUCAAACAAAAAAUUAAUGAGUACUAUAAAGGAAAUAAAAUUUUUAACUUAAAGUAGUGAUAUUUCACGUACCUUGUGCAUUAUGGUUUUACAAGCCAAAAAUUUAAAAUUCUAUCCCGAAUCCUACGCGAGCUGUUCAUCUAUAGCUAAGAGCCCACUACUAGUUGUAGCACCAACUUUAGAAAAUACCUGAACAGAGGCUACAUACCAUGCGCGCUAGAACAUUGCUGGUUUUCAGCUAAAUUUAUAAAUUAAUACAUAUAAUAAAAUUAUACUGUAAGAUUUCAGAGGAUAAGCCCUGUAAUCCUAAGCCAAUAUUCUCAUAUUAAACUACGUAGGCUUAAAACCAGCCAUCGACAAUACUUUACCGUAUAAUAUCUUUAAUAAAUUAUAUCCUGUGCCCCAUAAAGCUGACAUUUAAGAAAAAUUAAAAAUCUUAAACUAAUCUGUAAAAAUAAGUAUUAGUAAAUCACCUAAAUUCUCCUCAUGAACCUCCUAAUUUACCACCCAUAUAAACACUUAUAAAGGAACUCGGCAAAUAUUAUUUCGACUGUUUAACAAAAACAUUGCUUCUUGCAUGCUCUGAUAAGAAGUA
rnacentral:rRNA from 1 species